rnacentral:rRNA from 1 species
GACGAACGCUGGCGGCGUGCUUAACACAUGCAAGUCGAACGGAAAGGCCCUGCUUUUGUGGGGUGCUCGAGUGGCGAACGGGUGAGUAACACGUGAGUAACCUGCCCUUGACUUUGUGAUAACUUCAGGAAACUGGGGCUAAUACCGGAUAGGAGCUCCUGCUGCAUGGGGGGGGUUGGAAAGUUUCGGCGGUUGGGGCUGGACUCGCGGCUUAUCAGCUUGUUGGGGGAGGAGUGGCUUACCAAGGGUUUGCCGGAUAGCCGGCCUGGGAGGGGUGACGGCGACAUGGGGACUGAGAGAGGGCCCAGACUCCAAUGUGAGGCAGCAGUCGGAAACAUGGCACAAUGGGGGCAAGCGUGAGGAAGAGACGCUCGGUGCGUGAUGACCGCCUACGUGUGAGAAACCGCUGUCGCCUGUGACGAAGCGUGAUUGACGGUAAUGGGUAAAGAAGCACCGGCUAACUACGUG